AAAGAAUUAGUUAAUUAUAACCUUAGUAUGUCAAACUAAAAUUAUUAGAUUUCACUAAUAUUCUUUG
rnacentral:tRNA from 1 species